CCUACGGGUGGCAGCAGUGGGGAAUAUUGCACAAUGGGGGAAACCCUGAUGCAGCGACGCCGCGUGAGUGAAGAAGUAAUUCGUUACGUAAAGCUCUAUCAGCAGGGAAGAAAUACUGAUCUUAUGGUCAGCAGACGGUACCUGAGUAAGAAGCACCGGCUAACUACGUGCCAGCAGCCGCGGUAAUACGUAGGGGGCAAGCGUUAUCCGGAAUUACUGGGUGUAAAGGGAGCGUAGACGGUGCGCCAAGUCUAGAGUGAAAUGUCGCGGCUUAACGGCGGAACUGCUUUGGAAACUGGCGAACUAGAGUGCGGGAGGGGUAAGCGGAAUGCCUGGUGUAGCGGUGAAAUGCGUAGAUAUCAGGAGGAACACCGGUGGCGAAGGCGGCUUACUGGACCGUAACUGACGUUGAGGCUCGAAAGCGUGGGGAGCAAACAGGAUUAGAUACCCCAGUAGUC
rnacentral:rRNA from 1 species